rnacentral:rRNA from 1 species
UACGGAGGAUCCAAGCGUUAUCCGGAAUCAUUGGGUUUAAAGGGUCCGUAGGCGGCCCUGUAAGUCAGUGGUGAAAUCUCCCGGUUCAACCGGGAAACUGCCAUUGAUACUGCAGGGCUUGAAUUAUUGGGAAGUAACUAGAAUAUGUAGUGUAGCGGUGAAAUGCUUAGAUAUUACAUGGAAUACCGAUUGCGAAGGCAGGUUACUACCAAUACAUUGACGCUGAUGGACGAAAGCGUGGGGAGCGAACAGG